GAUGAACGCUGGCGGCGUGCCUAAUACAUGCAAGUCGAACGCUGGAAAUCUAGCUUGCUAGAUUGAAGGAGUGGCAACGGGUGGGUAAUACCUAAACAACCCAACCAACAAGACUGGGGUAAACCCUGGAAACGGGGACUAAUACCGGGUAGGUAAUCGGAAAGCAUUUUCUUAUUAUUAAAGGUUAAAAAAACUGGGGGGUGGGCUUAUGGCGCAUUAGUUAGUUGGUGAGGUAACGGCCCACCAAGACGAUGAUGCGUAGCCGGCCUGAGAGGGUGAACGGCCACAUUGGGACUGAGACACGGCCCAGACUCCUACGGGAGGCAGCAGUAGGGAAUUGUCGGCAAUGGGGGAAACCCUGACCGAGCAACGCCGCGUGAGUGAUGACGGCCUUCGGGUUGUAAAGCUCUGUUGUAAGGGAAGAACGGUAGAUAGAGAAUAUCUAAAUGACGGUACCUUACCAGAAAGCCACGGCUAACUACGUG
rnacentral:rRNA from 1 species